GUCCGCCCGGGGGCGGGUUCUGCGGGCCCCGCGCGGGCUAGUGGGGCGCGGGUGAGCCCCGGGGUUCUGUGACAAUGUGGGAGAGUCUUUUCGGGAUCCAGGCGAACCCCCACAGAUAGGCGUUUUUAAACUUCCCGUUACUGGCAGUGACGCCAGGAGCUUUACGGGAUGGAAGUGUGCGAGUCAAUCAGUGCGAAUGGGGUUGCUCUGAGGAAGCGCUGAGCCCCCUUGGAAGCCUCCAUCAGUGUUGGAAGAGUGAUAUUCGUAUCGUCAAGAUAGGAACAAAGGAACAGUGAAUGAAAUAACUUGGCUAGAAUAUGGUAGUAACUUCAAGGCACGGGAGUGACAUAUAAAGGUUUUCUGCUCUGGAUGAUCUCUGAAGUGUCUUCAAGUAAGACAAAUUUUAUUUUGAAACAGACACACCCCAGGAAGAAAGUGAUUCUAGCUGAGUCAUUUGCUUGACUUCCCAAGGAUAAAAUCCCUGAAACUGCACGGGUUCCUAUUUUCCACAAGGACUCAUUGUUCAUCUUUUAUUUGGAUGCUGGCUGCUCUCCAGAACCUCAAAUAAAUUCUUUCAUAUUACUUAA